rnacentral:rRNA from 1 species
AUUGAACGCUGGCGGCAGGCCUAACACAUGCAAGUCGAACGAGUGGCGGACGGGUGAGUAAUGUAUGGGAAACUGCCCGGUGGAGGGGGAUAACUACUGGAAACGGUAGAUAAUACCGCAUACCAUCGGAUGUGCCCAGAUGGGAUUAGCUAGGAGGUGGGGUAAAGGCUCACCUAGGCGACGAUCCGUAGCUGGUAUGCGAGGAUGACCAGCCACACUGGGACUGGGACACGGUCCAGACUCCUACGGGAGGCAGCAGUGGGGAAUAUUGCACAAUGGGCGCAAGCCUGAUGCAGCCAUGCCGCGUGUAUGAAGAAGGCCUUCGGGUUGUAAAGUACUUUCGGCGGGGAGGCGUUACCCGCAGAAGAAGCACCGGCUAACUCCGUGCCAGCAGCCGCGGUAAUUC